rnacentral:lncRNA from 1 species
UGGAUUGCGUCUUUUAAAUGGUAUAAAACAUUAAAAGCAUCGUCAUAUUUCUACUAAUAUCUUUCAGUCUUGUUACAGCAAUGGGGUAUUCAAGUAUCUAUGUCCUGUGUACUUUGCAACACUGAUGAAGAAGAGAAUCUUAAUCCAUCUCCUAUUUUGAUGCUCUUAUUCCCAACAUAUGUGGCGAAAGCUGCUCACCUGGAUGGGGAUUAGUAGACAAAUAGACUCAUGGGAAGAGGA